rnacentral:rRNA from 1 species
GGGCCCGCACAAGCGGUGGAGCAUGUGGUUUAAUUCGAUGAUACGCGAGGAACCUUACCAGGGCUUAAAUGUAGUAUGACCGGUCUGGAAACAGACCUUCUCUUCGGAGCAGAUUACAAGGUGCUGCAUGGUUGUCGUCAGCUCGUGCCGUGAGGUGUUAGGUUAAGUCCUGCAACGAGCGCAACCCCUAUUCUUAGUUGCCAGCGGUUCGGCCGGGGACUCUAAGAAGACUGCCAGCGCAAGCUGAGAGGAAGGUGGGGAUGACGUCAAAUCAUCACGGCCCUUACGUCCUGGGCUACACACGUGCUACAAUGGUAUAGACAGAGGGCAGCCACCUGGCGACAGGGAGCG